rnacentral:rRNA from 1 species
UGCAUAUCAAAUAAGCGGAGGAAAAGAAACCAACAGGGAUUGCCCUAGUAACGGCGAGUGAAGCGGCAACAGCUCAAAUUUGAAAGCUAGCCUUCGGGUUCGCAUUGUAAUUUGUAGAGGAUGAUUUGGGGAAGCCGCCUGUCUAAGUUCCUUGGAACAGGACGUCAUAGAGGGUGAGAAUCCCGUAUGUGACAGGAAAUGGCACCCUAUGUAAAUCUCCUUCGACGAGUCGAGUUGUUUGGGAAUGCAGCUCUAAAUGGGAGGUAAAUUUCUUCUAAAGCUAAAUAUUGGCGAGAGACCGAUAGCGCACAAGUAGAGUGAUCGAAAGAUGAAAAGCACUUUGGAAAGAGAGUUAAAAAGCACGUGAAAUUGUUGAAAGGGAAGCGCUUGCAAUCAGACUUGUUUAAACUGUUCGGCCGGUCUUCUGACCGGUUUACUCAGUUUGGACAGGCCAGCAUCAGUUUCGGCGGCCGGAUAAAGGCUCUGGGAAUGUGGCCUCCACUUCGGUGGAGGUGUUAUAGCCCAGGGUGUAAUACGGCCAGCCGGGACUGAGGUCCGCGCUUCGGCUAGGAUGCUGGCGUAAUGGUUGUAAGCGACCCGUCUUGACCACGGACCA